CCUACGGGAGGCAGCAGUGGGGAAUUUUGGACAAUGGGGGAAACCCUGAUCCAGCCAUGCCGCGUGAGUGAAGAAGGCCUUCGGGUUGUAAAGCUCUUUCAGCCGGAACGAAACGGUCACGGCUAAUACCUGUGACUACUGACGGUACCGGGAGAAGAAGCACCGGCUAACUACGUGCCAGCAGCCGCGGUAAU
rnacentral:rRNA from 1 species